rnacentral:rRNA from 1 species
UUGACGGGGGCCCGCACAAGCGGUGGAGCAUGUGGUUUAAUUCGAUGCAACGCGAAGAACCUUACCUGGUCUUGACAUCCCGGAGACCCUUAGGAAACUAGGGGGUGCUUCCAUCUGGAAGAAUCUGGAGACAGGUGCUGCAUGGCUGUCGUCAGCUCGUGCCGUGAGAUGUUGGGUUAAGUCCCGUAACGAGCGCAACCCUUGUCCUUAGUUACCAGCACGUUAUGGUGGGCACUCUAAGGAGACUGCCGGUGACAAACCGGAGGAAGGUGGGGAUGACGUCAAGUCAUCAUGGCCCUUACGGCCUGGGCUACACACGUGCUACAAUGGUCGGUACAAAGGGUUGCCAAGCCGCGAGGUGGAGCUAAUCCCAUAAAACCGAUCGUAGUCCGGAUCGCAGUCUGCAACUCGACUGCGUGAAGUCGGAAUCGCUAGUAAUCGUGAAUCAGAAUGUCACGGUGAAUACGUUCCCGGGCCUU